GACGUAGGGCGCGAGCGUUGUCCGGAUUUAUUGGGCGUAAAGAGCUCGUAGGCGGCUUGUCGCGUCGAAUGUGAAAUCCUGCGGCUCAACUGCAGGCUUGCAUUCGAUACGGGCAGGCUCGAGUUCGGUAGGGGAGACUGGAAUUCCCAGUGUAGAGGUGAAAUUCGUAGAUAUCGGGAGGAACACCAGUGGCGAAGGCGGCGAUCUGGGAAGAUACUGACGCUGAGGUGCGAAAGCGUGGGGAGCAAACAGG
rnacentral:rRNA from 1 species